rfam:Trichobilharzia regenti genome assembly, scaffold: TRE_scaffold0044063
AUCCAACUGACGAGUCCCAAAUAGGACGAAAUGCACAUCCUGGUGGAU